rnacentral:rRNA from 1 species
UACGUAGGGGGCGAGCGUUAUCCGGAAUUACUGGGUGUAAAGGGAGCGUAGACGGCGAGGUAAGCCUGAAGUGGAAGCCCGCGGCCCAACCGCGGAACUGCUUUGGGAACUGUUUUGCUGGAGUAUGGGAGGGGUAAGCGGAAUUCCUGGUGUAGCGGUGAAAUGCGUAGAUAUCAGGAGGAACACCGGUGGCGAAGGCGGCUUACUGGGCCAUAACUGACGUUGAGGCUCGAAAGCGUGGGGAGCGAACAGG